GACUGAUCACUGGAAAAUCAGCAUGGAACUGAUCCAGACCCCAUGAAUCCACAGCUUUAGGACAUUUGCAAGCCAAUUGAUUUCAGCUAAAAGAACAUGAUUGUGAUGACACAGGUUGAAUAAACUGGAUAAGGAAGAAAUGAGAAGUACUUUGGAAGCCUUGAUAAAAUAUACAUACUUCAAAAAAUGGAAGAUAAAUGUCAUGAUCAUUCAUGGCUGUGACAUGUAGUUUUAAGGGAGAUAGUUAUUUUGGGCAUGUCCGGAUACUCUUGCUGAAGAAGAGAAUAUUUCAUUUUACAUUUUCCACUUUUAAGGCCUCUGUGGUUUCUGAGGACAGCAUAUUUCAUAGUUGGCACAGGCUGUAACCCAUGCCCCAAGCAACAGAGAAGAUGACUAACUUUAAUUAAAACUCAGAAUAAGAAAAGGUUCUGCAGUAUGUCUGGAGCAUAUGGUCUUGAAGAAGUAAUGUUAUGUAUGUAUGAUGUGACAAGAUGUUUGAAGGUUUUGGAAAACCCAAGUAGGCAAAUUACAUCAUGAACUCUUAAGAUUCUCAAGCAAGACAGUGUCAUCUAUAGAGAUCUAUAGAGGAGAGCUAGAGUCUAACGUAUUAUUGGUUAAGUAUUCUGACUGUGUUACUGGGACUUGACAGAGAAAAACAUGCCACUAUCAAUCGACUAUGCAUCAAAAACUUAUUCAUGUGAGCCAUCUGAUACAUCAAGUUGGGCUGAACCAAUUGCAAUUCAUCAUGAACUGGAAGGGCUGUGUGUAGGCUUGUGGAUGAACAGAGCAGGAAAGCACACAUGGAUGGCAAUUGCCACAGACAUCUACGAUAGCUACCAUGUCACAUGGCCCUUCUCCCUCAGCUCAUUCUCAGGGCCACAUAAGGAACCUUCUUAUCAGAUAACAAAAGAGAAUGAGGAGAAAACUGUUCAUACAUAGGUUGUCUCUAUACAUGGCUGUAAGCUGGGAAAGCACUGCUAUGACUCUCUAGUCCCAUAAACUACAAAUGAAUAGUGUCAGGAGACCACAGCUGUUUCUUCUUUUUGCAAAAUAAAAAAGGAAUCAUUGGAGAUAAGGAUAAAAAGGAAAUACAGGAAGUUUCCUACAGUUCAGAUGGGGUUUAAAUAUCUUUGUAGCUCAUGAUAAUGCCCACUAGAGAUUGUUCAUCAAGGAAGAGGCAUUAGAUAGCUAAGUAGACAAAAUGACUCAGCCAGCUGAUGUCGCGCAGCUUCUGUCAUCGAUUACCACAGUGUUGGCAUAAUGGUUACAUUACAUUAUAUUCUUGCCAAAGAUGACUAAAUGUCAUUGGUCUCCACUAACCAGCUAUUGAUGCUACCUACAUUCAGAUGGGUUCAGUCUCCCCUAACCCCCAGCACUUGUCACUGUCCCACAUAUCAGUCCCCUCUAGAUAUACCUUGUAGACACACAGAUCUUUGCAUCUGACAACAACACGAAUAAUUAGAAUCUUGGAUACAAUUUCAUCCUUCAAGGACACCAAGCAGUCACCUAGGGGCAAGCUGAUUAUUUUGGAACCUAUUUAUUCUUGAAACGGUAGUUAUUCACCUUGGCUGGGAGAAACACAUAUUCUGGUAUCAGUUUCCUUUUCUUUGCUGCUGACUCUCAUUCAUCACCACCAUCAGAAAGAUGCACAAAGCAUCUACUGAUACCACACACUUGAAACAAUUCAAUGUGCACAACUGUUUGUUUCUGACAGUGUUUAGUAUUCAUCUGACUUCAUAGUGAUAGCCCCAGCAAUCAUGCUAAAGGAAGAUUAGAAAUCAAGAUGGAAACAUUGGAUCAUAAAUACAGAAGUGUGGCAGGCAAAAGGGAGGAACUGCAAAGACAGGAAAAGAGGUGGGCCAGAGAUGAGAAAAGAUUUCUUAAAGCAGGAUGGGAUGUCAAGCUGCUCAGGCAUCUCAGGUAGCAAUGUGUUUCACUGUGGAGUUCUCACUGCACUAUCCCCCCGCCCACCCUUUAUCACUUCAACAAUCUUUUGUAGCCCUUUAACUUUAUACAUUUUAAAAAGCACUCUGUUGAAUAUUGGGAUGCUCAGAUUCUUUUCCUUCUUUUGAGAACUUGAGUUGGGAGAGACAUGAGAAAGAGAGAGUUAAUUAUUGGAAAGGGGCUGAGACUACACAGUCAGCCAGCAGGUUGAGCCUAGGCAGACAUAGCAGGCCUGUGACUGAUUUAAAUUCACUCCAAUAAAUAAAAAAAUGACUAUUAUUUAUUAGACCAAAGGGAAGCAAAUGGUUUGGAGAGAAGACUGAGGAAGAAAGGCAGUGUGGUGGUCCAGUGGGAGAGACAUUUGUACAGUAGAUGAGAAAGUCAGCAGUGGGAGGAGAGGCUCCCUAAAGCUGUUUUCUCCUUAACUCAGGCAAUGUCCUAGUUGUUAGAGUAAAUAUUCAUCUUCUCUGUGUAAACUAAAUGAGUUGUUUUGCAAACAGAAGAACACAUGAAACAGAAGCAUGCCACAUAAAGACUUGUGUUUUCUUUUUUAAAAUAGUACUUAAAUUUUUUGAGAUUAUAAUAUAAUUACAUCAUUUCCCCUUCCCUUUCUCCCCCCAAACCCUUCCAUGUACAUGCUCUUGCUCUCUUUCAAAUUGAUGACCCUUUAUUCUUUAAUUAUUGAUAUGUGUAUGCAAAUAAAACCUGUAAUUGAAUAUAUAUGUAAAGUGUAAGGCCAAAUAAACUUGUUUCCCUUUAAAGCUUUUGAAUCUCAAGCAGUUUGCCACUGUGAAGGAAAACCUAUAUCUGAGAAUUCUCAGCCUGUUCUUCAUGUUAUACUUCCCUAUUAAUUUUAGAACUCUAGUAAUAUAAAUAAAUAUAAAUAUAAAUACAA